AUUGAACGCUGGCGGCAUGCCUUACACAUGCAAGUCGAACGGCAGCACGGGAGCAAUCCUGGUGGCGAGUGGCGAACGGGUGAGUAGUACAUCGGAACGUGCCUAGUAGUGGGGGAUAGCCCGGCGAAAGCCGGAUUAAUACCGCAUACGACCUGAGGGUGAAAGCGGGGGAUCGCAAGACCUCGCGCUAUCAGAGCGGCCGAUGCCAGAUUAGGUAGUUGGUGGGGUAAAAAGCCUACCAAGCCGACGAUCUGUAGCUGGUCUGAGAGGACGACAAGCAACACGGGGACGAAGACGGGGCCCAGACCCCGGGGGGAGGCAGGAGGGGGGAAGUUUGGAGAGUGGGCGCAAGCGUGUCCCAGCCAGGCGGGGGGAAGGAAAAAGGCCUGGGGGUUGUAAACUGUUUUUGAAAGGGAAAAAAAGUUCUGGGCAAAUCCCCGGGGGCAAUGCCGGUACCUAAAGAAAAACCCCCGGCUAACUACGUGCAAGCAGCCGCCGUAA
rnacentral:rRNA from 1 species